GUGUGUCAGACAGAGAGAGGAAGUCGAUUGUGUUGCCGAUGGAAUAAUGCAGCAGCACGUGCAGGACCUGCACCGGCGACAGGUUCUGAUUGGACGACAGGAUCACUGCUGCUACACCUGCACACGCACAAACCAAAGUAUAAAGCACUUCUUGCGCUGCAUCUACUAAGCUCGUGUUUCGUCUUCAUUUUAGGUGUGUGCGCAUACCAGCAGCGUGCGCAGCAGCCUGGGAGGUUCCACUCCGGGAGGUGAAACAGGUGCUGCAGUCACUACUGGCACUGACGAUGUCAUCGCCGGGUGCAAACAGAUCAACGCAGCGGCCAAAGUUGGUGCCACCCGCUCCCUGUGACAUGAGCUGGUCCGCUGAGUUAACUGCCCCUACGGGACGUUGUUGAAGUCUGUGAUGAGCACUCGUCCUUCAACCUCUCUGUGAGAACUCUGAACACUGCCAUCCAUCAGAUACACCUCCGCCAUCCCUCCAUCGUCUGCAGAAGAAGAGGUCCCACCAUGAGGCUGCAGUAACCUCUGGAGGUUCCAGGGGGCACUCUGAGCAAAGACGGACGAGUCCUCCUCUAUGUAGUGGACCUGAGGGAGCUUCACCGCCUGGGAGGACCGCUAGGUGAGAAAGGGGAGAAG